AUCCACUCUUCUGCUUUCAACUAACAGGAUUUCCACUAAGGAAGGGCAGCACCCUGAAUCUCUAUGAUUCCUUCAAGGCCAGCAGCCUUGGGACUUCAAUUCACUAAGAACUCUUCAAGGCCAGCAGCCUUAGGACUCUUCUAGUUCCCUAGGAACUCUUCAAGCCCAGCAGGCUUGGAACUUCGUUUAGUCCCUCUGGACAAGGACCCUUUGGCCCUACUUUGUUUAGUC
rnacentral:lncRNA from 1 species